rnacentral:rRNA from 1 species
CCUACGGGGGGCAGCAGUGGGGAAUAUUGGACAAUGGGGGGAACCCUGAUCCAGCCAUGCCGCGUGUGUGAAGAAGGCCCUCGGGUUGUAAAGCACUUUCAGUGAGGAAGAACGCCUGGUGGUUAAUACCCAUCAGGAAAGACAUCACUCACAGAAGAAGCACCGGCUAACUCCGUGCCAGCAGCCGCGGUAAUACGGAGGGUGCGAGCGUUAAUCGGAAUUACUGGGCGUAAAGCGCGCGUAGGUGGCUUGAUAAGCCGGUUGUGAAAGCCCCGGGCUCAACCUGGGAACGGCAUCUGGAACUGUCAAGCUAGAGUGCAGGAGAGGAAGGUAGAAUUCCCGGUGUAGCGGUGAAAUGCGUAGAGAUCGGGAGGAAUACCAGUGGCGAAGGCGGCCUUCUGGACUGACACUGACACUGAGGUGCGAAAGCGUGGGUAGCAAACAGGAUUAGAUACCCCUGUAGUC